CCCUUCGGGGUGUGACUGCGUACCUUUUGUAUAAUGGGUCAGCGACUUAUAUUCUGUAGCAAGGUUAACCGUAUAGGGGAGCCGGAGGGAAACCGAGUCUUAAUUGGGCGUUAAGUUGCAGGGUAUAGACCCGAAACCCGGUGAUCUAGCCAUGGGCAGGUUGAAGGUUGGGUAACACUAACUGGAGGACCGAACCGACUAAUGUUGAAAAAUUAGCGGAUGACCUGUGGCUGGGGGUGAAAGGCCAAUCAAACCGGGAGAUAGCUGGUUCUCCCCGAAAGCUAUUUAGGUAGCGCCUCGUGAAUUCAUCUCCGGGGGUAGAGCACUGUUUCGGCUAGGGGGCCAUCCCGGCUUACCAACCCGAUGCAAACUGCGAAUACCGGAGAAUGUUAUCACGGGAGACACACGGCGGGUGCUAACGUCCGUCGUGAAGAGGGAAACAACCCAGACCGCCAGCUAAGGUCCCAAAGUCAUGGUUAAGUGGGAAACGAUGUGGGAAGGCCCAGACAGCCAGGAUGUUGGCUUAGAAGCAGCCAUCAUUUAAAGAAAGCGUAAUAGCUCACUGGUCGAGUCGGCCUGCGCGGAAGAUGUAACGGGGCUAAACCAUGCACCGAAGCUGCGGCAGCGAACGUAUCACCCAAGACAACUUUACGGAGUUGACGAUUGACGGAGCGAAGCGACGUCAAAGCGUUCAUUAAAGUCGAGUUGGCUUAGGGAUACGUUCGUUGGGUAGGGGAGCGUUCUGUAAGCCUGUGAAGGUGUGUCGUGAGGCAUGCUGGAGGUAUCAGAAGUGCGAAUGCUGACAUAAGUAACGAUAAAGCGGGUGAAAAGCCCGCUCGCCGGAAGACCAAGGGUUCCUGUCCAACGUUAAUCGGGGCAGGGUGAGUCGACCCCUAAGGCGAGGCCGAAAGGCGUAGUCGAUGGGAAACGGGUUAAUAUUCCCGUACUUGGUGUUACUGCGAAGGGGGGACGGAGAAGGCUAUGUUGGCCGGGCGACGGUUGUCCCGGUUUAAGGGUGUAGGUGUGUGUUCCAGGUAAAUCCGGUUCACUUUAACACUGAGGCGUGACGACGAGGCACUACGGUGCUGAAGCAACAAAUGCCCUGCUUCCAGGAAAAGCCUCUAAGCAUCAGGUAACACGAAAUCGUACCCCAA
rnacentral:rRNA from 1 species